rnacentral:tmRNA from 1 species
GGGGGUGUUCUGGUUUCGACGGGGGUUUUCGAGGGUUAGGUAAGCGAGCCGCGGACCCUGUACCGCGUAAAAACGGGGAAAAACAAUAACUGACAAUAGCGAUUUCGCUUUCGCGGCGUAAUGCCGCGCGUCGGCCCGGAUUACCCACAGGUCCGGUUACCGGCGUCAGCUAUGUGGGGAACGAGUGCGCCCAAGCUUUGAAGCGUUACCCGUAAUCAUGAAGCUACUGUAGCCAAAAGCCUGCCCGUGGGCGUUUGGUGAGGGGAAUCCCAAAUCACAGGAUGCGCUCGGAGAAAACCUGGUCAGCGUGCUUUCGGACAGGGGUUCGAUUCCCCUCACCUCCACCA